UACGGGGGGAGCAAGCGUUGUUCGGAUUUACUGGGCGUAAAGGGCGCGUAGGCGGCCAGCACAAGUCAGUUGUGAAAUCUCCGAGCUUAACUCGGAACGGUCAACUGAUACUGUGCGGCUAGAGUGCGGAAGGGGCAACUGGAAUUCUUGGUGUAGCGGUGAAAUGCGUAGAUAUUGGGAGGAACACCAGUGGCGAAGGCGGCUCACUGGACCGGAACUGACGCUGAGGCGCGAAAGCGUGGGGAGCAAACAGG
rnacentral:rRNA from 1 species